rnacentral:rRNA from 1 species
UGGCUCAGAUUGAACGCUGGCGGCAGGCUUAACACAUGCAAGUCGAGCGGGGAAGAGUAGCUUGCUACUUUACCUAGCGGCGGACGGGUGAGUAAUGCUUAGGAAUCUGCCUAUUAGUGGGGGACAACAUUUCGAAAGGAAUGCUAAUACCGCAUACGUCCUACGGGAGAAAGCAGGGGACCUUCGGGCCUUGCGCUAAUAGAUGAGCCUAAGUCGGAUUAGCUAGUUGGUGGGGUAAAGGCCUACCAAGGCGACGAUCUGUAGCGGGUCUGAGAGGAUGAUCCGCCACACUGGGACUGAGACACGGCCCAGACUCCUACGGGAGGCAGCAGUGGGGAAUAUUGGACAAUGGGGCAACCCUGAUCCAGCCAUGCCGCGUGUGUGAAGAAGGCCUUUUGGUUGUAAAGCACUUUAAGCGAGGAGGAGGCUCCCAGUAUUUAUACUACUGGAGAGUGGACGUUACUCGCAGAAUAAGCACCGGCUAACUCUGUGCCAGCAGCCGCGGGUAUACAGAGGGGGUGCAGCGUUAUCGGAUUUACUGGGCGUAAAGCGUGCGUAGGUNGNCANUNANGUCAAAUGUGAAAUCCCGGAGCUUUACUUGGGAAUGGCAUUCGAUACUGGGUUGGCUAAAGUAUGGGAGAGGA